rnacentral:rRNA from 1 species
UGUCCGAAGUAGGGCUUGCGGUCGUAGUUAGGAUAGAAGAAGAGGGGAACGAGGUGGCGAGUCUCGUGUGACGAGACAGAGGCGGUGCGUUAUGUCUCUCCUCACCGGAAGCGGCCGCUGCUCCGAGGAGGGACUGGUCUAGGGCGGUGUCAGCGCCGCCGUCCCCAGCUCCUGCUGCUGGUGCUCCCUAGGCGCCUCCCCCGGUCCCUAAACCGCAAGCGAUGUCGGCUCGUGGUCCAUGAUGGCGCGAUGCUGAGUCGAGGAGCGGCUGGCCUCGCUCCACGGCAGCGCCAGGCUACGGCUCGCGGCGGCGCUCGUGGUCCGGCGGCGCGAGCCCCGCUGCGACGGGCGUGGUAGGGACGCUACGCGGGUGGAGGUUGGGCCGCCGCUACCGCUACAGGCGCUCCGGGACCCGCGCUCCCUCCGCUACCUCUGGUCGACUUCGCCGUCGCGGCAGUAGGAUGUGGCCCUCCGCCCCGGACCACCGCGUGCUCCGACGCCCUGCGCCUUCCCCCUCUUCGUUCCCUCCAUGACAAGCUCCUCCGCCCCGCGCCUCCCUCUCUCGUCACCUCCACGACUGCGACUGCGGCGCCGCGAAGUACCUCCAGUUGAUCCUCCACCUGCUCCGGAACGUCGAGCGUCGGCUGGACGAGCGGCUACGCGGUUAUCCCUAGACGAGCCGCCGCCCCUACGGCAAAAGAAGAUCACUACACGCCUACCACUUGACGAGCGGCCCUAAGUGGGGCUCGGGUCCCUCACCCUCAUAGCCCCUAUCCUAUACACGUAGCUCGUCUCCCCCGACCACAAGUGAAGUCCAAAGAACGGAGUCAGCCUAGUCAAGACCUCAGGAACUAGAGGAGCAGGAAAAAGUUGUCGAAAUGCACCCUUCCAUAACCUAUAAUGAUUUUCAAAUCCUCUCGUUUACAUACUAUCUGUUUAUACGUUUUAUUCUUACUUGAGAAAAAAUCAACAAGCCAUCGUGUAGUAUGUGACUAACGUGACUUUGUCCUUAACGAUCUGAUAACUACCUCUUCUAGUACACAGGGGAAAAAAAAUACAACAGAUCGUCACUGAACCCUUAAACAAAUCAUCACUGUACGGUUAAACAAACUGAAAUCUAAAGACCAAGUGUACCCAUGUGUAACCCAUGUAGAACUGUUAUAAAAAAGACCUUAUCAAAGAAAACUCGUACCGUUUAACACAUCUUGUACUAUAAAUCAUGUUAUACCGUUUAACCGUUGAUCACACAUCACAAAUCGUGACAAAUCACAACAAACAGGAGGACGCUCUUAAUAUAAGUCAUUAAACGGUACCGUAAACAGGAGGACAUAAAUCAGACAUCACGUUUAAAACAUUUGAACGGUACACUAGUCAUGUAUGUUUGAGAUCGAAACUUUACUUAGUACUUAGCUUAAAAGAGAUCUAAAACGGUACUUAGUCUUCAUAUAUAACAACUUGUGACAAAACGGUACCGUUUUUCCUAAAAUAUCGAAAACCGUACGGAGAUUAUAUCGAAAAAGGUACAGUGGUGAUAUUGAAAACCGUACUGUAUGUGUAUAAAAAAAAAUGGUACCGUUUAAACGAUUAGACAAACGGUACGGAGAUUAUAUCAAAAGCGGUACAGUGGUGAUGUUGAAACCGGUACAAGUGUACCUCAUCAUUUUUAUUUUUGUUUAAACUCAACUAACAUCUUUAUACACAAACAAAGGGAAAAAAACUGAAACAUCCUAACUACUACUGGUGUAAUUCGUAACGUUGAAAAUUGUCUAAACUAAAACGAAAACAUGAAUGAUGACGUUUAGGUGGGUCCAUUAAAACGGUACAGUUAAUUGUACGUCAUACAAGCACGGUACCUUUUAAACGUAAGAAAAAGUAAAGUAAAUGUGCCGUUCAGAAGUUUUGUAAAAUCAUAAGGGAGGUAGAGCUUUAUAUAGAUGUUGGAUCUUUUAAUGGAUUUUUGAUUAAUGAAAAAAAUUUGUCUUUCUCAAUGAAAGGGUGGUGGAUUAAAUCCACAUGACAAAAAACGCGGUUAUAAAAAAUUGGAGGGCGAUUUUCCAGGGUUUAAUCGCAGAAACAAGGGUGGUUUUUUAAUCGAAGGGCGAUUUAUGGAAGGAUUGUUGGGUGCUUAUAUAUUAAGAUCUGGUUUGCUGCCGCAGAAGUGCUCGCUAACCUAGACUCGAGAGCAGAGCCAAGUAGACACGACGGCCGCAGUACUGCCGCAGUUAUCUCGCUUGGUGCAGUCCACGUGCCGCAGUCCAAUCAGGAGGAGGGCUAGAGGAGGUAGCGACUUUUUAGGUCAGGAGGAGCUAGAGGGGGAGGGGGGAGAGGAGACGCGGGCGGAGGCAGGCCCUAGUUUGGGGGGAGGGGGUGCUCGAGGAGUAGCUACGCGCCGAGAGAGUUAGGACUAGGUAAGUCUCCCCGACGGGGAAGAGAGGAAGCUAGCGGCGAACCGGCAUCUUUUCUUCAAUCCCGUCCCCUGUACGGCGGCGGCCACCGUAAAAGGGUAGCGCGGAGCUAAACCGGCGGAGCCGCCUCCGCGAGCGCCGGACCUCCCAGCCGCGUCGCGGAGUGGAACCGUACCUCCGACCGGCGGUACCUCGAGCGGAGCCGGAACUUGACCCCGAGCUGCCCCGGAGGGCCGGGCCAAGUACCGGCGUCGGCAGAGCCGACACGUGCGGCCGCAACACUGUACCACCGGUCCGCGACCAAUGACGGCGUGGGCUGGGGUCACACGGGCUCCACGGACGUCCGGAGAGGUGGUAGAGACGAGGACAAAGCGAGACAAAGGAGCACCUGGGGUUUCCCCCAGCACUCGUAAUCUAACCAAAAACUCGUGAUCUAGGUAAUUGACUUUCUAUAUCUGUAUGAGACAUUAGACAUACACGUUUCGAUCGAUCGAACGUAAAAAUAAUCUAUUCACGGCCGAAGGACUCAAGUUAGGGGGUUGAUUAUUACCACGGUUUAUGGUCCAAAAAAAGAUGUAUGUACCUACGAAAGUACUAGGUGAAAUGUAAACAAAGGGGGACCCAAGUCAGACUUAGAAAUGUAAUGUGAAUCUUAGGAUGGUAGUGGCAGUGACAGUGAGACGUAUGUUGUAAUUAAGAAUAUAGACUUAGUCCAACUAAUCGAAAGCUACAUUAUAAUAGGCCGAACGGCUUUUAUUUAGGUGUAAGAAUGUGAGACCAAAGAAGAAUAUGUAGGAUGUCAGUGAAAGAAUAUUUAUAAAAAAUCGUUAAUCGCAUCUAGCUCUACUCAAAGAAAGUUGUGUAAAAUUCUGUAUUACAGUAUAUAAUCUACAAUAUACACGCAGUUGUCUCGUCUCGUAAGUCCAAAUCAGUAGUAGACGUAACGUAAACUAAGUCUAAUGAUAUUCGACUAAAAAUUAUCUAUAAACCAGAAUGUGCUCAGUGUAACGUAAAAAAAGGAUAUCUAAGUCUCAUCAUAAAAGUACUUGGAUAGUGAUUAUGAAACGGAAAGUACAAGUAAGUGUAUACAGACCAAAUGGGUGUGUUCCCGUGUUACUACUUAAAAUGCCUCCUACGAGGACAUUUCUUUACGAGACAAGAGAAUUGUUCCUACCUUUCAUAUUGCCGUAUGUUUUUGGUUGCACCUGUUGGGUUUAGACUUGUUAGACUGUAAGGUCACAGACGAUUACUGUACACAAGGGAACGACUUACCGGUAGGGUACGAGCGGCGUUAGCACGCGCUGAUGUCCUACUUCGACCACCUGUCUUCUUCUUUCCCGCUCCACAAGAUUUUCCAAAAUUUCGUAGAUUCUUCGCAAAACGGUUACCUAGACGUUUCGAUUUAUAAUGUAAGAGACUUUUUAACCCACCAUGUCAUCCUUACUUGAUAGCAAGCAAGUUCCUACUGCACCAACAGUAUUACUUUUCUUUCAAUGGUGAGUAACCUCGCUCCUGCACCAGCCUGUAAGUGGGAUGGUAAGUAGCUGAGUAACAACGUCUAUAUUAUCUGUCUACCCUGGACCUUCUAUGUGGUCUUUGUCUUCUUUUUCAAGAGUUUUAACGCUUUCUCUCUAUAUCUCCGACCGCUAGUUGAGAUUCGAGGUGAAUGUUCCGUAUGUUUUGUCUACGUCGAUCUAACCGAUUAGACGGACUUCUAAAUGUUGGUCUUCUCACCCUUACCUACUAACUCAUGAAACCGUAACUAAGUUUUAAAGUCCUUGUGUCGGUUUUCUUGCGACUAUUGGCAUUCUUUGUCUUCUGUUUUGUAUAUUAGCCUUGUUUUAGAAUGAGCGUUCAAUCAAAACUCUUCUCUUUGAAUCUUUGACCUCUUCUCGGUCUAACAUAACGAGAUACCCUUGAGUGGGUGUGUUUAUUACCUUGUACCAGAUUGUGUCUAAGGGUCUUUCAAAUGCUGGUUCGUGAACUUCUCCAAUUUUUGUUUCUUCGACUUUGAUUUCCAGGUGAAAGUUCACUCGUCUUUUUGUUACAAAAGGUCUGGCGAAUGUUUCUGUGAGAUCUUACGUUCAGUAGCGUCGGAGCACCCAUGCCUAUGUACCUGUUUUGAAGUUGACCAAGAUUUUUCAAGGCAUAGGUCUAACUUCUCGUUCGAGCACGAUGUCGUCGGUGGGUCCUCGCUUUGAGAGUCGAGUCGGUCGUCCAGUUACUGAAUCUUCUAGUUGAUGUUCGACUUGCACGAUUGUGUGUUCUCUCCUAAUUGAACCUCGCACGACUCUCUCUUGUUGAACUCCUCUCCAAUUUUCUUCUCGCACAACUUUCCCUUUCUAACAACGUUCUCCUCGCUUGUAGUUCUGACCUUAAACUUUUUUUGUACUACCGUUUCAAACAUCUUAACUCGUUUGUCUAUCUUUGGGUUGUCCAAGGAUGCUUCUCCCAACUGUUUCUUUUAUCAUUAGGUUUGAACGUUUUAUAAGAAAGUGUCUGUAGAUCAGGAUUAUUCUGAGGUCCAAGUUCCGGCUGACGAUAAAGAAGUUUACGCGAGUAUGUUCGACGUCGUUCCGUUAGAGCUUACAUAUUUCGUUACCUAGGUUUCUUGAUCGACCUGACCUGAGAUCUAGUGUCCGUCAAAUCAGAAGCUUCAAUUAAUCCUACCGAUUUAAUGUAAACUCAAAAUAAACUACCUAUAAAAGAUAGUCUUCAUACUUAACAUACUUAGAUGUAUAAUAUACAUACCAAAACUUAUAACAUUAAUUUUGGAACAUUAAAAAAAAUGCUAACGUUAUCUGAUAAUGGUGUUGGGUAAAAACCAACGGUGUACGAUCGUGG